CUAAUACAUGCAAGUCGAGCGCGGGAAGCAGAAAGAUUCCUUCGGGAUGACAUCUGUGGAACGAGCGGCGGAUGGGUGAGUAACACGUGGGCAACCUGCCUGUAAGACUGGGAUAACUCCGGGAAACCGGGGCUAAUACCGGAUAAGACUUUAUCUCGCAUGAGAUAGAGAUGAAAGAUGGCUUUUAGCUAUCACUUACAGAUGGGCCUGCGGCGCAUUAGCUAGUUGGUGGGGUAAUGGCCUACCAAAGCGACGAUGCGUAGCCGACCUGAGAGGGUGAUCGGCCACACUGGGACUGAGACACGGCCCAGACUCCUACGGGAGGCAGCAGUAGGGAAUCUUCCGCAAUGGACGCAAGUCUGACGGAGCAACGCCGCGUGAGUGAUGAAUGUCUUCGGAUUGUAAAACUCUGUUGUUAGGGAAGAACAAGUACCGUUCGAAUAGGUCGGUACCUUGACGGUACCUAACCAGAAAGCCCCGGCUAACUACGUGCCAGCAGCCGCGGUAAUACGUAGGGGGCAAGCGUUGUCCGGAAUUAUUGGGCGUAAAGGGCGCGCAGGCGGUCUUCUAAGUCUGAUGUGAAAGCCCACGGCUUAACCGUGGAAGGUCAUUGGAAACUGGGGGACUUGAGUGCAGAAGAGGAGAGUGGAAUUCCAUGUGUAGCGGUGAAAUGCGUAGAGAUAUGGAGGAACACCAGUGGCGAAGGCGA
rnacentral:rRNA from 1 species